rnacentral:rRNA from 1 species
CCUACGGGCGGCAGCAGUGAGGAAUAUUGGUCAAUGGACGGGAGUCUGAACCAGCCAAGUAGCGUGAAGGAUGAAUGCCCUAUGGAUUGUAAACUUCUUUUAUAUGGGAAUAAAAUGUUCCACGUGUGGGAUUUUGUGUGUACCAUAUGAAUAAGGAUCGGCUAACUCCGUGCCAGCAGCCGCGGUAAUACGGAGGAUCCGAGCGUUAUCCGGAUUUCUUGGGUUUAAAGGGAGCGUAGGAGGAUUGUUAAGUCAGUGGGGAAAGUUUGCGGGUCAACCGUAAGAUGGCAGUUGAAACUGGCAGUCUUGAGUACAGUAGAGGUGUGCGGAAUGCGUGGUGUAGCGGUGAAAUGCUUAGAUAUCACGAAGAACUCCGAUUGCGAAGGCAGCAUACUGGACUGCAACUGACACUGAGGCUCGAAAGUGUGGGUAUCAAACAGGAUUAGAUACCCUGGUAGUC